UACGUAGGUGGCAAGCGUUGUCCGGAAUCACUGGGCGUAAAGCGCGCGCAGGCGGCGAUCUACGUCUGGGGUGAAAGCCCGGAGCUCAACUCCGGGACUGCCUUGGAUACGGGAUCGCUUGAGGAUUGGAGAGGCAAGGGGAAUUCCACGUGUAGCGGUGAAAUGCGUAGAUAUGUGGAGGAACACCGAUGGCGAAGGCAGCCCCCUGGGUCAAGAUUGACGCUCAUGCACGAAAGCGUGGGGAGCAAACAGG
rnacentral:rRNA from 1 species